GUCCUAGUAGCUCAGCUGGAUAGAGCAACGCCCUUCUAAGGCGUCGGUCGGGAGUUCGAAUCUCUCCUGGGACG
rnacentral:tRNA from 2 species